rnacentral:rRNA from 1 species
UACAGAGGUCCCAAGCGUUGUUCGGAUUCACUGGGCGUAAAGGGUGCGUAGGCGGCCGUGUAAGUCUGUCGUGAAAUCUUCAAGCUUAACUUGGAAACUGCGUCGGAUACUACUCGGCUCGAGGAAUGGAGGGGAGACUGGAAUACUUGGUGUAGCAGUGAAAUGCGUAGAUAUCAAGUGGAACACCAGUGGCGAAGGCGAGUCUCUGGACAUUUCCUGACGCUGAGGCACGAAAGCCAGGGGAGCAAACGGGAUUAGAUACCCCGGUAGUCCUGGCCCUAAACGGUGCACGUUUGCUGUAAGAGGAUUCGACCCCUUUUGUGGCGAAGCUAACGCGUUAAACGUGCCGCCUGGGAAGUACGGCCGCAAGGUUA